GAAGGCCGUCCACGUCGGUAAAAACGACUUCUACCGUCAGAUGGUAAAUCAACCACCUGUAUUCAUCCCACUUGCGAUGUUACUGUAGCAGUAAAUAUCUCCACUUCGAGAGCUUUCUUCGACAGCCUCGUUUUGCUCAGAUCCGGCCGCCUCAGUCUCCACCCCACGCGGCCACGCCCGUCGCCUGCUCUGAUCCGCCUCCGUUCCGGCCGCCCCCACUCCGCCGCUGUCGCUAUCUGCUCUGCGCCCCGUCUCCUCGCUCGCGGCCGGCCAAGCGGCGACCCGCGGCCGUCGCUCCCCUCACGCGGCCAUAACAGCGUCGUUGCCACCCGCCCGCGGUCGGUCCGGCAAGGCGGCGCAUGCGACCGUCCCGGCGCCAACGCUCUUCGCCCAAGGCCGGUCCGAUCCUCCGGCGCCAACGCGGCCUGCCCUGCACUCCAUCUCCUCACACACGGCCGGCAAGGCGAGGGCCGUCGCUCCCCGCCUGGGGGCUGACGGGCACCCUCCUCACGCUGGGCGCCAGCAUGCCCCCAAGAGCCCUGUCCGCCAUGGCCUCUGUCGCGCGGCUCUCCCUGCCGUGCCGCCUCCCUGCACCCCUGCCCCCCCCGGCCGCUGCGCUUCGCCGCUCACCCUACGCCGCCGCCGCCGCCGCCGCAGCGCCGAUGCGCCCCUAUGCCCUCCACAGCCGGUGGAGGUCUCACGCCGCCGAGGGCGAGGCGCAGGACCAGGUCUAGCAGCUGCAGAACGAUGCUCCCAUAUUGCAGCAUCAUCGAGCGCAAGCAGAAGAAGACCAUCGACGAGAUGGAGCAGGAGUUCCUCCAGGCCAUCAUGUCCAACGAGGAGUUGGAUAACCUCAAAGAGGAGCUCAUGUGGGAAGGCAGCAGCGUUGUCAUGCUAAGUAAUAACCGCGUUCAUGCCCGGAUGAGCAAAGGCUUUUGCAAGCCACCAUGGCAAAUAUCGCUGGCAACCCCAUCAUGACGGAUACUGCUGAAUACGAUGCCCUCAAGUUCAGAUUAAUAGUUAGAUCUAGCUGCCCUAUUAAUCUUUUAUUUUAGUAGUACAGUCAAAGUGAGAUGUUAUUUGAAACACUUUUAAUACUAUUUUGUCACCACCCGCCAAAUCUUUUUGCAAGAACUCGGGCUGUAAUAGAUUCUAGAUGAUCUUUGAUUUAAGUAAGACUGAGGCUGGCUUGAGCCCUAAACCUCUAAAAAAAUGUUUCUGAAAGUGUCAAAAUGGUUCACUGUAAUUCUUAGCUCGUACCAACCAAUAUUACUGCUUGACUAAGGAUAGUUGGUCUCCAUUUCUCAAGUUUAUGACUAGAAUAGCUACAAAGCAAUAGGCAAAAAUAUUCGAUGGAAGAAACUCAAUGGAAUCCUGAAAACCCCAUGUUUGCAUGUUUUGAAACAUUCUAAAUAAAAAUAUGGUCAUGAUUUUUCGAAGAGCUAGAGAAGUUGGCUUAGUUGAAGGUAUUGGCUGCACUGGCACUCUGAAGUUCUUUUUUUAAAAAAAAAACUUGAACACAUAUGCAUUCCUUAUGUUUUUCUUAGUAUGUACAACUAAAAAAAAAAGUAAUUCUACUAUCUUCUAAUUCUAGUCAGAGCUAGCUAAUUGUAAUCAGAGCAGUCCUACAAGGAUCCUACUAGCCCCAAUAUGCACUUCUAGCUAAUUAUUUCCAGUAAGAGCAAUUUUACUGUGAUCCUAUUAAGGCAUGAUGAAGUUUUCCUAAUUCCUCGAUGGAGCCGAGCAGAGGCAGAGCAGCUGAGCAGCGCAGUCGAUUUGUUUGGCGUCAUCCAAUGUUUUAUUUUCCUCUUUUUUACUGGUUUCCCAUAGUAUUCAUUCGCAAGGAUUUUCCUAACUGAGAUUCACAUUUGUCUCUUCGUUUUACAGGUUCUACAUUUAAUUUUGUUUCAUCCAUUUUCAUUUUCAUUUUCUGCUUACUUGGGUUACCUGUAGUUCGAAUCAAACUAUAAGGAAGUGCUACUCACAUUAAUUUGCCCCUUUUAGUUUUCUUGACUUCUUGAUCGACCUUGCAGAUCUAAGGAAGUGCUGAUAAUGGAUAUGUGCUUGCCAAGCUACUGACAGUUUUCAAGCAUCUAAGCAAACAAGUCUCCUACCUGGUCCAUUGGAUUCUUACUACUGGUUCACAGCAGAUUCUUCAUUGAUAUGGACUAUUGGAUUAUAACUAACAAAUGGAAUACUGUGAAGUUUGUGCACUUCAUCCUUCACAUCGCAGAUGAAUGCUUCCAAGGAUUUUUUUCAGCUAAGGACCUGGACAAGAAUGUGGCUCCUCACUUCCAGAAAGCUGACAAAUUUUAUGAUGCCCUUGCCAGACAGCUGGUCAGUCAAGGACGUGCGUUAGAUGUUUCCACAUAUGCUCUUGAUCAGAUUUGUAUGAUACAUUGUUUAGGAAUUUAUGCUUGCUCGGUUUUCAUACCUUCAUUAGUUUUUUAUUUGUCAUGCAAACAAAGCAAGUAAGGUCACGACACCAUCCAUCAGGAGCUGGUGAUAGCAGGGUUGGUAAGCCGCAAAUAAACAUCAGCCAAGAACAAUUAGCCAAAAUAAUAUUUGCAAAUUAGUAGACGUACAUGUACAGUUUUCCCCUGCUUAGUCUCCUAAUUUUGCCAUAGAUCCCUAUGUUUCUAGGAUUAUGUUCAUGAAGUUACUUUUCGUACAGCCAGUAGCUUAUGUUCAGAACUUGAAACAUAUUUGAGACUACAUGCUUGCAAGGGUGCUAGAUUUAGACACAGGCACAUAUACAAAUGCUGAUUUUGUUUGCGUCUUCAAAUGCAGCACAUAAUAACCAGAUUUAUUUAGAGGCAGUAGUUAUUUCCAUUUGCAUUAAUUCAAAAUAAUGUUGCUUCUUCCAACACCCUAUUUUUAGUUAGACCCUGCUACUUUUCAAUAUUAAUCCACUGCAACUCUCUGUUACCAAAAGUAACUAGAAUAUUUUCUCAUUGUUACUGUUCAAUUCAUCCAAAACCUAUUGCUAAUUUAUCGUUUACAUGUUGCUGAUGAUUUUGAUAAGAACCACAUGUCCACAAAUAUGGAGGGACAAAAUCAUCAAACUUAAGUUUGACCGCCACCCAGCCCCUUAUCACCCAUUGUAUAUUGAAUUGCUAAACCUAUACUGCCCUGUGCCAAAAAAAAACCUAUUAAUUCUCAUCUCUAUUACUGUGUUCAACACCUCACAGUUCCAUGUUGGAGAAACUUCUGAAGAUCGUAUUGGAAGUGAUAGAUCAAAAUACUCUGCAUCAUACAUACUUUUAUAGGUCGCAGAUACUUCAAUGCUUUCUUUUCUUGCCAUCACAGAGCAAAAGUAUCUUGAGGGCAUGGUUAAUCCUCCUAGAAUUGAUACGUAAUAUGUUUACCUCUGCUGGUACGUCAUGAAACACUAUUUGGAUCCGACGUCUCCAAAUCCUACCAUGUACAUUUUUCAAAAAAAUACACUAACAACAUCCUUUUACAUGCUUUCCAGCUGCAUAAAUAUCAAGCUAUUUCAGGAACCAAAUAUGGCACCCAUUACAGCCAUGUCCUGAGAAUAUAUCAACCCUAGCUGAUGACUUGUGCAUCUGUGAAGCGCUUAUUAUUUUGCCAAGAAUCAGGUAUUACUAAGCAAUCUAGCUGCGUGCUGCAUGAAACCAACUUAGCGUCCAACAGUGUCCAAGCUCUUACCAAUGAACACUACUUUAUGAUGUAACAGCUAAUGUAUUUACGUCUCUUAUUAACUGCACCUUUAGAGUGCCUGUUCCAAUGACAUGCGUGUUGUAUCACCCCUUAUUACGGUUAUGAGAUCAUCACCGUCUUUUACUCAA